UACGUAUGGAGCAAGCGUUAUCCGGAUUUACUGGGUGUAAAGGGAGCGUCGGCGGCUCUGUAAGUCUGAUGUGAAAAUUUGGGGCUCAACCCCAAACGUGCAUUGGAAACUGCAGGGCUUGAGUGCCGGAGAGGCAGGCGGAAUUCCUAGUGUAGCGGUGAAAUGCGUAGAUAUUAGGAGGAACACCAGUGGCGAAGGCGGCCUGCUGGACGGUAACUGACGCUGAGGCUCGAAAGCGUGGGGAGCAAACAGG
rnacentral:rRNA from 1 species